rnacentral:lncRNA from 1 species
AAAAUUCAGAACUUCACCGAUGAUGCUCUGAAUUUUGACAGUAGUGCAGAUCUCAAGGAACUCAUCCAAAUGUUUGUAUGGGUCUUCAUUAUCGAGUCCAUAAAAAGAGGGAAGCAUUUGGAUGACACUAGACUUAAUUUCAAAUUGCAUAGCAGCAGUGGUAUCAGGUAGUCGGAUACAAGAUGGAGAGGUAUAAAUGGAAGGAGUGAAGUACUCUUUUAACAGUUUGGGUUGCUCUUCAGCCAUCUCGACAAGUGGUGUGGAUCCUAUGGUUCUAUAGGUCCGGAUUUCGACUCGAAGGGUCCUAAUAGAACGCUCUAUUUCAGGGUC